GACGAACGCUGGCGGCGUGCCUAAUACAUGCAAGUCGAACGCAGUGGGGACGGGUGAGUAACACGUGGGUAACCUCCCAUCAGAGGGGAUAACACUUGGAUACAGGUGCUAAACCGCUACUGAUGGAUGGACCCGCGGUGCAUUCGCUAGUUGGUGAGGUAACGGCUCACCAAGGCGACGAUACAUAGCCGACCUGGGAGGGUUGUCCGCCACAAUGGGAACUGGAAACGGCCCCGACUCCUACGGGAGGCAAGAGUAGGGAAACUUCGGAAAUGGACGGAAGUCUGACCGAGCAACGCCGGGUGAGUGAAGAAGGGUUUCGGAUCGUAAAGCUCUGUUGUUAGAGAAGCGGUAACUAACCAGAAAGGGACGGCUAACUACGUGCCAGCAGCCGCGGUAAUAC
rnacentral:rRNA from 1 species